GCUUACGGCCACACCGGUGGUUCACGCCCGAUCUCGUUUGAUCUCGGAAGCUAAGAUAGGGUUGGGCCUGGUUAGUACUUGGAUGGGAGACCGCCUGGGAAUACUAGGUGCUGUAAGCU
rnacentral:rRNA from 1 species